GAAUGUGAAGGUGAUCUGACUGAGACAUCUGCCACCCCAUUGAUCACCAGAGUUGAUUUGGCUGAUCUGGUUGGCUAAACAGGUGUUCCCUUCCUCCUUCACUGCUCCAUGUAUAUCCCUCCCCAAGCUGCACACUCAGUCAAAGAGGAUGACCAUUCCCUGUAGAGGAGGAUUGUUUUCUUAUUCUAGGGUAUCCGAGUAGCCGCUCUCCCUUGUUAGAACUUACAAACAAGCUCUCAAGAAUACUUGCCCAAAGUAAUAUAAUAGGAAGAACAAGGUCUUGAAUCCAGGACACAGCUAAUAAUCUUU
rnacentral:snRNA from 1 species